UUUCCGUAGGUGAACCUGCGGAAGGAUCAUUAACAAAUGAAUGAAUAUUGUAACAAUUGUGAAUUGGUCAAUCUGAUUGGCAGCUUUAUGCAAUGAUGAUGUAGUCUUAUACAACUAUAAUUAAAUACAACUUUUAACAAUGGAUCUCUAGGCUCUC
rnacentral:misc_RNA from 1 species